rnacentral:rRNA from 1 species
UACAGAGGGUGCAAGCGUUAUCCGGAUUCACUGGGUUUAAAGGGUGUGUAGGCGGGUAAGUAAGUCAGUGGUGAAAUCUCCAGGCUCAACCUGGAAACUGCCAUUGAUACUAUUUAUCUUGAAUAUCGUUGAGGUAGGCGGAAUAUGUCAUGUAGCGGUGAAAUGCUUAGAUAUGACAUAGAACACCGAUUGCGAAGGCAGCUUGCUAAACGAUUAUUGACGCUGAGGCACGAAAGCGUGGGGAUCAAAC